rnacentral:rRNA from 1 species
GGGUGCAAGCGUUAAUCGGAAUUCCUGGGCGUAAAGCGUGCGCCGGCGGUUUUGUAAGUCAGAUGUGAAAUCCCCGGGCUUAACCUGGGAACUGCGUUUGAAACUACAAGGCUAGAGUGUGGCAGAGGGGGGUGGAAUUCCACGUGUAGCAGUGAAAUGCGUAGAGAUGUGGAGGAACACCGAUGGCGAAGGCAGCCCCCUGGGCUAACACUGACGCUCAUGCACGAAAGCGUGGGGAGCAAACAGG